UACGGAGGGAGCUAGCGUUGUUCGGAAUUACUGGGCGUAAGGCGCACGUAGGCGGCUUUGUAAGUUAGAGGUGAUAGCCUGGAGCUCAACUCCAGAAUUGCCUUUAAGACUGCAUCGCUUGAAUCCAGGAGAGGUGAGUGGAAUUCCGAGUGUAGAGGUGAAAUUCGUAGAUAUUCGGAAGAACACCAGUGGCGAAGGCGUCUCACUGGACUGGUAUUGACGCUGAGGUGCGAAAGCGUGGGGAGCAAACAGGAUUAGAUACC
rnacentral:rRNA from 1 species